rnacentral:rRNA from 1 species
UACGGAGGAUGCAAGCGUUAUCCGGAUUUAUUGGGUUUAAAGGGUCCGUAGGCGGGCUAAUAAGUCAGUGGUGAAAUCGAGCAGCUUACCUAUUCAACUGCCAUUGAAACUGUUGGUCUUGAGUGAAUUUGAAGUUGCCGGAAUAUGUAGUGUAGCGGUGAAAUGCAUAGAUAUUACAUAGAACACCAAUUGCGAAGGCAGGUAACUAAGAUUUAACUGACGCUGAUGGACGAAAGCGUGGGGAGCGAACAGGAUUAGAUACCCGGGUAGU